UGAUGGGGAAGCCCUUCGGGGCGAAGUAGCUGAUUUCAAACUGUCAAGAAAAGCUUCUAUCGAGUUUAAAGGCGCCCGUACCGUAAACCGACACAGGUGGGUGAGGGGAGUAUCCUAAGGCCAGCGAGAGAACUAUUGUUAAGGAACUCGGCAAAAUGACCCCGUAACUUAGGGAGAAGGGGUGCCUGUCUAUGACAGGCCGCAGAGAAUAGGCCCAAGCGACUGUUUACCAAAAACACAGGUUUCUGCUAAGUCGCAAGACGAUGUAUAGGAGCUGACGCCUGCCCGGUGCUGGAAGGUUAAGGGGAUCUGUUAGAGCAAUCGAAGCAGUGAACUUAAGCCCCAGUAAACGGCGGCCGUAACAAUAACGGUCCUAAGGUAGCGAAAUUCCUUGUCGGGUAAGUUCCGACCCGCACGAAAGGCGUAACGAUUUGGGCACUGUCUCAACAAUAGACUCGGUGAAAUUGUAAUCCCGGUGAAGAUGCCGGGUACCUGCGACAGGACGGAAAGACCCCAUGGAGCUUUACUGUAGCUUGACGUUGGGUCUUGGUACUACAUGUACAGGAUAGGUGGGAGACUAUGAAGCAUGGACGCCAGUCUGUGUGGAGUCAUCCUUGGGAUACCACCCUUGUAGUACUGGGAUCCUAACCAUAGGCCUUGAAUCAGGUCUUGGAACACCGUUAGGUGGGCAGUUUGACUGGGGCGGUCGCCUCCUAAAAAGUAACGGAGGCGCUCAAAGGUUUCCUCAGCACGGUCGGAAAUCGUGCGAAGAGUGUAAAGGCAAAAGGAAGCUUGAUUGCAAGACAUACAGGUCGAGCAAGGACGAAAGUCGGACUUAGUGAUCCGGUGGUACCGCAUGGAAGGGCCAUCGCUCAACGGAUAAAAGCUACCCUGGGGAUAACAGGCUUAGCUCCCCCAAGAGUCCACAUCGACGGGGAGGUUUGGCACCUCGAUGUCGGCUCAUCACAUCCUGGGGCUGUAGUAGGUCCCAAGGGUUGGGCUGUUCGCCCAUUAAAGUGGUACGCGAGCUGGGUUCAGAACGUCGUGAGACAGUUCGGUCCCUAUCCGUCGCAGGCGUAGGAAAUUUGAGAAGACCUGUCCUUAGUACGAGAGGACCGGGAUGGACGUACCUCUGGUGUACCAGUUGUUCUGCCAAGGGCAUGGCUGGGUAGCUAUGUACGGAAUGGAUAAGCGCUGAAAGCAUCUAAGCGCGAAGCC
rnacentral:rRNA from 1 species